rnacentral:miRNA from 1 species
ACACACACACCACCCCCUGCUGCCGGUCGUGUGUGUGUGUGUAUAUUAAAAAAAUAAAUAAAUAAAUAUAUAUAUAUAUAUAUAUAUAUAUAUAUAUAUAUAUAUAUAUAUAUAUAUAUAUUAAUUAUAUAAAUUUUACAUACACACGCGACCAGCAGCAGGGGGUGGUGUGUGU